UACGGAGGGGGCUAGCGUUGUUCGGAAUUACUGGGCGUAAAGCGCACGUAGGCGGACUGUUAAGUCGGGGGUGAAAUCCUGGGGCUCAACCUCAGAAUUGCCUCCGAUACUGGCAGUCUCGAGUGCGGGAGAGGUGAGUGGAAUUCCCAGUGUAGAGGUAAAAUUCGUAGAUAUUGGCUGGAACACCGGUGGCGAAAGCGGCUCUCUGGCCCGGUUCUGACGCUGAGGCGCGAAAGCGUGGGGAGCAAACAGG
rnacentral:rRNA from 1 species